rnacentral:rRNA from 1 species
CAGGCCUAACACAUGCAAGUCGAACGAGGUAGCAAUACCUAGUGGCGAACGGGUGAGGAAUGCUUGGGAAUCUACCGUGUAGUGGGGGAUAACGUUUCGAAAGGAACGCUAAUACCGCAUACGUCCUACGGGAGAAAGGGGGGGAUCUUCGGACCUCUCGCUAUACGAUGAGCCCAAGUCGGAUUAGCUAGUUGGUGGGGUAAAGGCCUACCAAGGCGACGAUCCGUAGCUGGUCUGAGAGGAUGAUCAGCCACACUGGAACUGAGACACGGUCCAGACUCCUACGGGAGGCAGCAGUGGGGAAUAUUGGACAAUGGGGGCAACCCUGAUCCAGCCAUGCCGCGUGUGUGAAGAAGGCCUUCGGGUUGUAAAGCACUUUAAGCGGGGAGGAAGGGCGCCUGGAUAAUACCUGGGUGCAUUGACGUUACCCGCAGAAUAAGCACCGGCUAACUCUGUGCCAGCAGCCGCGGUAAUACAGAGGGUGCAAGCGUUAAUCGGAAUUACUGGGCGUAAAGCGCGCGUAGGCGGUUAUGCAAGUUGGAGGUGAAAUCCCCGGGCUCAACCUGGGCACUGCCUUCAAAACUGCAUGGCUAGAGUAUGGGAGAGGAAGGUAGAAUUCCAGGUGUAGCGGUGAAAUGCGUAGAGAUCUGGAGGAAUACCGAUGGCGAAGGCAGCCUUCUGGCCUAAUACUGACGCUGAGGUGCGAAAGCAUGGGGAGCAAACAGGAUUAGAUACCCUGGUAGUCCAUGC